UUCACUCCAGUUUCAUGGCUGACCACCUCGAGAUGGCUGUCUGGAUUCAGAUUUGCUGCGUGGCCACUACAAACCUGUCAGCUCCUGCUCCAGACUAAUAGGAGUGAUCUGAUCACUGGAGCAAGCCUGACUUCCACCCUCCCUUUCUACAUUUUCUUUUGGCCUCAGCCAUGCAUAUUGAAUCUGGCUGAGAUUGAAAUAGGACACUGAGAGGUGGAAAGCUCCAUCAGGGUGACAAGAUGUCAGCUCUCCCUGGACAACUCAGCAUCACCUCUGUUCUUGAGAACAAAGGAGAGUCCUUUGAACCCUAACAUCAUACUCAGUCUUACCCUAGUCUGUUGAAUCAAGGAUGUGCCAGAUAACAAAGAGACGAUGGAUAAUCCUGGAGUAACUAAGAAUACUGAUUGAGGACUCCCAUUGAUGAGACAGAGAUUCCAAGUUAGCAUGCAUAGGGUAUAGUUACAUGAGCUGACAUCCCAUUCAAUGUGAAAUUGGGGAUGGACUGAGAAGCAACUUCUCAAAGUCAUAAGGCCACUCCAUAUCUGUUGGCAGCCGUUAACUCUUGCAAAUGACCCAUAUGGCUUCAAACUAGACAGAGGCCAGAGAACCAGUCACCAGUCACCUCAAAAAUGUUGAGAAAUAGGUCAAAGGCUGGUGUAUCUCAGUAGUAUCUUGUUUAGCAUGCUCAUGUUCUGGGAUUGAUACCUGCUACCACAUACAUAGGAAAAAAUGGCUAUAACCUAAACCUAUAAAACUACCUCCAUCUUUAAGCUAAGUCAACAAACUCAUGCAGACACUAAGGCUGGCUGGUGCUAGGGUCAAUGAGCCAUCUAAACACUGACCCAUGAGCCACGUUCCUCACUUUAUCCCAGCUGGCUUCAUUGAAAUUCUAUUAAGUCAGUUUGUCUAGUCUCCUCCUAACCCUUAAUGCUUUUCUUUCUAUAGUUUUCAAUCCUUUAAAAUACACCCUGAUGCUUGAUUAUUAAUUCUCAAUUUCCUUGUUGCUACCUGCACCUGUUUCCAUGGUCCAGAAUAAAGUCUGUAUUACCAAUUUCUCUAUUGUGGAGCAUAUCCUCAUCAGCAGGCAGUUCUUCUAAUAGAGAUUGGAAAGGGAUGUAGAUGCAUGUGGCUGCUCAAGUAGAGAGAAGCACGGAGUCUAUCCCUUAUACCAUGGCCAAGCAGGUGUAGGGCUAAAGUUCUAUCAGCAUGUAAGUAACCAAGCUGCCACCUAGGAUCCAACCACCUAAAAGAUCAUUUCAAGCUCUCAUGUUUCUUCUGCUCAACUCCAAGCUCUGAAGAGUUGAAGUGUCAAGCUAGAAAAAAAAAAAAAAUUUACUGUGUUCCUCACCAGCACCAUCCUCCAGGUGAUGCCUGAGCUCCACACCUGCCUCAAGCAAGAAUCCUGUUAGUUUCACCUUUGGGAGCUAAGUCAACAUCUGUGUCCCAAGAAGAUGAUGAUAAAAGUCAAAAGAUACUCCAGAAAUUUCUUCAGGAACGCUCCAAAAUAUGUUCACAGGAUAUUUCCUUUGCUGUGACUUCUGCCAAUCUUUCGUUCAUAGAUACAUCUAAUUGUACAGAAGCUGGUGAAUGUGCCCUCUCUUCUCAAAGCCCACCACCAUUGAAGAAAGGAAAACUGGAUAUUUGGGACAGUUUCUGCCAUGGGUCGUUCAGGGUAGUUCAAUGCUCAAUUCCCUUCCUUUUUACCUUCUUUGAGUUAAGCCGGAGAUCUUGAGAGGCUUUGCUUAACACAAGAUCUAGGAGGAAAUUUAUGCAAAAACUUCUAUCCUUCCUCUUGGCUCGUCUUCAAUAGAAAUACACAAGAAGCAGCCAAGAAGCCAAUUGUAGGCUACAUAAGAGAGAUUACAGGGGCAAGGUGCCAUGCUGAACUGAGAACAAAAGCAAAGCCUGCAUGUACCUAGUUAUGUUUCAAGUGCUAAAAUUUGACCUGUGAUGUAAAAUAUAAACAUUCAAAAAAUAUUGAUAGAGGGAACCUAGCAUGGUGGAACAUACCUUUAAUCCCAGCAUUUAGAAGGCAAAGGCUUAUGGAUCUCUCUGGGUUUGAGAUUUGCCUGAUCUACACAGUGAGUUCCAGACCAGCCAGGACCACACAGUGAGGUGUGUGUGUGUGUGUGUGUGUGUGUGUGUGUGUGUGUGUGUGUGUGUGUGUAUUUGAAUCAGGCACCAAGUCUAACUCUUCAGGAAGAGACAAUGUGAUAAUCUGCUAAGAGAUUCAGUGCUUGGGAUUCCCACAUAUGCCCAAGAGGUGGGGAAAUGUAGCUACUGUGUAGCCCUGGGACCAUACUGUUUCUGGUGAAAAGUGACCCCUUAUUUAUACACAAGGAGACACACACAUAUAAAGCAGGAAGCAUUGCUGAUUAGAUAUUGCUGAGCCUUGCCCUAAUGGUGCAAAUGGCAUUUGUUUGAUAUGGCUGAGAAAGUUUUGUGAUUCUGGGCUCAUUGCCAGGCGUCAGCAUGUCAUUGCUGAAGGUCCAUAGAUGCCCUUCCAGAAAGAGCCAUUUCCCUUUUUAGCUCAGCUGUUUUGUGGCAGGAAUGAAUGUCUAUGGGCAGCACUGCCUCAUUCUUCUCUAUGGACAGGAAGGUCAGACAAAGCUUGGGUGUGGUGAAAGCCUCUGAAGUGGGAUGGACAACAAGCCAUUCCCCCAUUGGAAUAUCAUUAUAUUAAGUUCAUUAGAAUCUUUAGUAUAGGAAGCCAAGGGCAUGUUUGGCUGGGGUGGUGUCCCACAGUGGCCCCAGUCAUUUCCAAAAACCAAACACAAAGAAAUGUCAUCCCGUUAACAAGAACAUGCAUUUCUCUGUGUACUCACUUUAAGUCUACAUAUCAAAGAGGGAAAGUCAGGUACAGGAUAAGAGGUACAUAGGUACAGUGUGCUGCAAUUUGAACAUGAAGAAACAUGGAUGGAUAUGAAUAUUUAUAAAUUCAAAGGUAAGGCCAUCUCUAGGGAGACUCAAGAAACUGAUAAUCACGGUUGCCUUUUCACAGGGAGAUUCUGUUACUAUAAGAUAUGAAAUUAAACUUGAACAUAAAAUACCAAUGCAAAAUAGGAAUCAAUAAAAAUUAGAAAGUAAUGAUAAUAAAACACAACUGAAACAAGACUUGGUGGUUACAUGUGCAACCCCAGCACUCAGGAGAUAGAUCAAGGAAGGUCAGAAGUUCAAGGUCAGUUCAUGAGCUACAGGAGACCUUAUCUACAGAAGGAGAGAAGGGAGAAAGGAAGGAAGGAAGAAGGAAGGGAAGGAGACAGGAGGGAAAGGAAGGGGAA
ensembl:lncRNA